rnacentral:tRNA from 1 species
CAGUGGCCAAGUGGAUAACGCGAUGGCAUUUGAAGCGAAAGGUACUGGGUUCGAGUCCCAGAGUGAA